rnacentral:rRNA from 1 species
AUGAGUUCUCCCUGAGACUUUGAGUCUCCUGAAGGAACGUUGAAGACGACGACGUUGAUAGGCCGGGUGUGUAAGCGCAGCGAUGCGUUGAGCUAACCGGUACUAAUGAACCGUGAGGCUUAACCUUACAACGCCGAAG